rnacentral:rRNA from 1 species
CAGUCGAACGGGGGCUUCGGCCCCAGUGGCGAACGGUCGCGUAACACGUAAGCAACCUGCCCUGAAGUGGGGGACAACAUUCCGAAAGGGGUGCUAAUACCGCAUGUGGUCACGAGUCGGCAUCGACUUGUGUCUAAAGAUUUAUCGCUUCAGGAUGGGCUUGCGGCCUAUCAGGUAGUUGGUGGGGUAAUGGCCUACCAAGCCGACGACGGGUAGCUGGUCUGAGAGGACGAUCAGCCGGAUUGGGACUGAGAUACGGCCCAGACUCCUACGGGGGGCAGCAAUUAGGAAUCUUGCGCAAUGGGGGAAACCCUGACGCAGCGACGUCGCGUGAAGGAUGAAGGCCCUCGGGUCGUAAACUUCUUUUGAGUGGGAAGAAAUUUGACGGUACCACUCGAAUAAGCCCCGGCUAACUACGUGCCAGCAGCCGCGGUAAUACGCAGGGGGCGAGCGUUGUCCGAAGUUACUGGGCGUAAAGCGCGCGUAGGCGGUUAUUUAAGUCUGGGGUGAAAGGUUCAGCGCUCAACGUGAACAGUGCCUUGGAUACUGGAUGACUUGAGUCUGGGAGGGGGAAGGGGAAUUCCUGGUGUAGCGGUGAAAUGCGUAGAUAUCAGGAGGAACACCGGUGGCGAAGGCGCCUUCCUGGCCUAAGACUGACGCUGAGGUGCGAAAGCGUGGGGAGCAAACGGGAUUAGAUACCCCGGUAGUCCACGCCGUAAACGAUGAGUGCUAGGUGUCGGGGGUAUCGACCCCCCCGGUGCCGUCGCUAACGCAUUAAGCACUCCGCCUGGGGAGUACGGCCGCAAGGUUGAAACUCAAAGGAAUUGACGGGACCCCGCACAAGCGGUGGAGCAUGUGGAUUAAUUCGUCACUAACCGAAGAAUCUUACCCAGGUUUGACAUCGAGGGUAAGACCAUGAAAGUGGUACCUCUAGCAAUAGACCCGAAGACAGGUGUUGCAUGGCUGUCGUCAGCUCGUGUCGUGAGAUGUUGGGUUAAGUCC